GUGAUGGUAUAGCUGCUGCUGCUGUUGCGGAUGCACCUGUUGCCUUCCUUGCAUUUGCCUCUGCUGAUUGGCAAAAAUAUUGGAAGGCAUUCCUUGCCCCAGUGAGUUCUGUGUAAUUCCAGACAUGUUCUGCAUGUUGGAAUUCUGACCAACAACAUUAGGUAUAGGAUUCUGAGUUAGACCAGAGACAGGAGGCAUUCCAGAUUGUAAACCAGCAGAACUUUGAACUCCAGCAGAUGCCAUGUUAUUUGGAACAUUCUGGGGCAACAGUUGUUGACGUGCUUGUGACUGAUUACUUUGUAGUGGGAUAGGAAUUGAUUGCCCUUGACCAUGAACUUGGUUCUGCAUGGCCUGAGAACCUACCCAAGAUUCUUAUAUUCAGAAAGAGAAGUUGGGAACAAACCCACAAGAACAGAAUUGAAGAACAUUUAGAACAAGAUAAACAACAAAAAUACCAAAACAGUAACUAAUUCAUUUAAAAAGAGAACUAGACUUAAAACAUGUGAGGGAAAUUGAACCAUACCCUGAGGAAGAAAAAAAUGAUACAAUUAUUCCUAGCACAUGCAGACGUGUAUACAAUGCCGAAAGACUUCAAUUAUGGAAACAGCAAAUGUGGCUCUCUUUGGGUGUGCUCAUCAAAUCUAUCAAAUUAAAACACCUCCACCCCACCAAAACAAAACUUAACCCACCUGGUUAAAAGUAUUAUUACUGCUAUACUUGAAUAAGGGGAUAAAAGGGAUAAAGUUCAGGGAAUUUUCAUUAAACUAGCCACUGAACAUGUUGUAAGUUAAACAACUCUGCAUGUAAAAGAACAGAAAGGACAAGUAAAUGGAAACUAUCCUGCUCCUACGAUACAUCGAAGCAAAAUACCAUUUUCUACUAUUACCUGGAUCAGGAGGUUUGCCGUUAUUCCCAGUGUUUGGUAUAGAAUUCUGAGACUUGGUCUCCAUUGUAAGCAUCUUCAAGGAUAUUCUCCUUAGAUAAUCAGACUGAAUAGACAAUCCAUAACACCAUUAGAAUAAUAUAAGUUGUACUUUAUUAUUCGAAUACAAGACAAGAUUAUCAAAAAUGUUAUAUGGCCCAUGCUUAAUAUUAAGUUAGCAUUAAGCAUUUUCCUUUUUUCCUCUCUCCCUUCUCUCUUUCCUCCCUGGAAAUCUUUCUCAUGGAUUUCCAAUGUAAUUGACAAGGUAAGGAGCCUUGGUCUAUGCAUAUGAAUAGGAAAAAAAGGAAACACACACAACGCUAACAGACUAAAUAUUGGUAACAACAAAUCACGUGCACAAAGUCAUGAAAUGCACAAAUAUUGAUACAAACACCAUGCAUACAAAGCACGUUAAGGAAUGCAGCAUCGCGUGAUUACCUGGCUGCUUGCAGCCGUAAAAAUCUUUUCCUCAAACCUUACAGCAAUUUUCCUGAGUUCAUUUAAACCUUCUUGGCCAGAAAAUGGAAGGUGCCUCUUCAAUGUAUCCAUUCUACAUAUGCAAGGCAUUUCACAAGUUAGUGACACACAAAUAUCAAAUUCUUAAAAAUAGCAUGUAAGAAUCUUCAAUUGGUAAAUAAGUCAAUGCUAAGAAUGCGAGUUAUCAGGUUAGUAAAAUAUUUACAUAUCAUCAAACGAAAUUUAACCAAUACAUAAACUGAACACCAACAAAUUUUCCCUUAAACUUGUUCAAGACUGUCUACAUUUCAAUACCCCGAAGCCACCACAUUGGAAUUUAAUAAAUUCUCCCAAUAUAAACAAAGUGACCAUCAUGGCCUUCAUAUAUCAGCUACAUUCAAAUAGACCACAUACCAAUAUUUCCAUUGUUCAGAGAGCGUUGUGGAAGGCAGGGCCACUAGUCGAAGUUACAGCAAUAAGUUAUUUGAUGAUAGGGCAUGAUUCAGAUAGUAAUAACAAAGAGACCCACUAAUUCAUAUACAGUACCACCCCUGCCCUCACCCCCAAAAAAAUCAAAAUAAAGGGUAACAAUUAUUGACAUUUCAUUUUCCGUAUCCACUUCCCCGACACGCAAACGCUUAAAACCAAGGGAGUAAUAUCACAUGGACUUAAGGGUACUACAACGAAGGACCAUAUGGGUGUGGAUCCCUUGCCAAGGACAUCAGGGAUUGGCCUGGAGAACCGUCAUGUGGUGCAAGUUUGCUGAGACACACAACAGAUGUGCACUAGGAACAUCUUGGACAUAUAUAGAGGGAUGGUUAGCUCACCUGUAAGGCUAGUCUCUUGGGUUGAGGCCCAAGGCCUAUGAUAGUUUUACUAGGUAUCCCAAACAAAUUCAAAUGAUGUGCAUCCACCACUUGGGUCACAUUGAAUGAGGAAAGAAGUGCCAAGCUUACAAGGAACCCAAAAUCUAAAAACAAAAUGCAUCUUUAUUCAAUCACUAAAAUUCAUUAAAUGAUGAUGCCAAGAAUGCCACCUAAAGUUGGACCCAAAAGCUUAGCCACAUCAGCUUACAGAUAUGUGGCCCAUACAAAGUGCCCAAACUCUGGGUAAGAGCAAGCUUUGAUUCUCAAGCCAUAUAUUUACGAAACAAAGAAACUGCUUGGAAUAGGAAAUAAGGUAUUAUUGAUGGUAUUGUUUGGUUAUUAACAAUAACUAAGACUAUGAAGACAUGCCACAGAAUCUACAAUAAAUUAAGUGCAACAAGUUUAUUUAACAAAUAAUAAUACCAUAAAACUCACUUACAUCUUGUUGACAAUCCUUUGUCGUGAAUCAGCCUGCAACUGGGUUCUCCAAUCACCUGUGUCCAUUGUGGGCUCUCCACUCGGAGGAGUAGGCCUCCAGUUAUUGUUAUCCAUCAAUUCCUAACAACACCAAAUAAGAAGAGUACAGUCACAAACACUUGCAAAUAAAAUCUUUUUAUCAUAAACAAAAGAAAGUGAAAAAGAAAAACUAGUAAAUUUGGAAACAGAAGUUACUCCUCAAUAUGCAAAAUAUUCAACAAAUUUCUUUUUGAUAAAUGCUUCCCUUCCCCAUCUUCAGUUUCUAUCUCUUAAUAACUCAAAUAAAGCAUGUAAUUUUUUAAAAUCUCUCUAUAGUUUUCCUCAUAGAUAGCAAAAAUCAUAAAUUUAUACAUAUGAGCAGGAUUUUUUUUGUAAUAUUGUAACCUAAAUUUGACACUACAAAUCAUUUGCUGCAUCAGUUUAGCUCUUACAAAACACAGGACAUUUUACUACACGUGUAUAGACACCGCAAAAUCAUGAUUGAACAUUAGCUUUCAAUAUGUACGCCACAAUUUAGCACACUUGGAUGUCUAUUUGGUUGAUUCAGUAAUAUUACUAACCAGCCUUUCUUUGCAAGGCUGUUUAAGACUCUGUCUUUUCUUUCUCUCUGUGCUAGGCCAUUGGUUAUAAGCCAAAGGAGAACUGUAACUUACUAAAAAGCUACUUCUUUCACCAGUUGACCAGCUAAUCACUGACAAGCAAUGAUCAUAUUCAAUGAAUUGCUAAUGAGGAUUAAUUGUUAGUUUGCUUCUGAGAAUGCUACCUAGACUCAUGAUUAUGAAAAAGUUGAGCCCUCUAACUGUAACCAAAACUGUUCUAGCUAAAUAUAUUUGGAUGACCUAAAUCCUUGAUUUUUCACCAAUAAAAUCAAACCCCUUAAUUUGAAUUUCAUCAUAAAAUUAUUAAAUGAAAACAAUAUAAAAGAUAAUUACAAAUAUGAACAGAAUCAAUGAUAUAAACCAUACCUAAUAGAAAUAAUUUACUUUGAAGGGUUGUUUCAUUAUUGGGUAUCCAAAUAUAAAAUCAAGCUUUCUAAUUGUUUUUCAGAUCAAAAAAAAAAAAAUUAAGAAACUAUAAAGUCCAUUACGUGGUGAUAUUCUUAAAAGGAAAAUCAAAUUUUUAUUACUACAAGUCAAAAAACAUAGUCCCAGGUAAAAUUUUCAAGGAAAUUACGAGACCAGAAUCGUAAAACCUAAAAAAAGAAAGAAUUGAAAUUUUACCUCAACGAAGAGCUCCCAAUUCCAAAAGAGAGAUCCGCUUCGAAAAUUUCUCAAAGAUUUUUUCAAAUUCCAAAUCCCUCGAUUGAAUUAAAGCUACGCCGCAGGUUCUCUUGCCCUCUAUUACAAAAUAAAUAAAUAAAUAAAGAAUUUUAAAAACUAUCUUUUUUACGAUUUUAUGGCUUUUCAAAAUAAUUAUACAUAAAAAAAGAUUUAAAAAUUUUACUUUGUUUUCUUGAAGGAUGAUCGGUGGCUUCUCGUUCUCGUUCUUUGUUUUCUUUUUGCUUUUAUUGGGUACCUAAUACUCUCGGAUAAAUAAACAAAAUUAGAAUAAAGAAAAUAAGGAAAAUCACCUGAGCUUCGCUAGGUUGAAAAGAAAGCGAGAGAAAACCAAGGGAAAUCGAACUGAGAACAGAGGAAAAAAGAAUAGACGAGAAGAAGCCAAAGAAGGUCAGGCGUUAGACCAAAGUGAAUUGGAAAGACUUUUCUUUCAUAGUUGGAACCGUGUGUAUGUCUGCUUUUAUAUAAUACGUAUAUAUAUAGAUAUAAUGCUUAAAAAUGUCUUUAAAUUAUUUCAAAAUAUUUAAAUAAUUUAUUAUUUUUUCGUUUUAGCUCUCAUAUAUCUUUAUUAUUAAAAUGGACAAACUGUGUCAAUUAAAACAUCAUUUAUUAUUAUUUUUACUCACAUGAUGUUAAUAUAAAUAUGAAAUAUAUCAUGUGAUUAUGUUAUCAUGUUACGUUAAUACUUACUUUUAGAUUUAUUUGAUUCAAAAUAAAAAUAUAAAAAACUUGAUAAUAUAAUAAAAUAAUAAAAAUUUGUUUAAAUUUUUUAAAUAAUUCCUGAAUUUUUUAGGCAUUAUGCUUUUUUAUAUUUUUUUUUAUUUUGUUUCUUAAAAUAAAGCCUACCUCAUUCAUAAAAAAAAUAAAGUCCAUUUCAAAAAAAAAAAAAUUUGUGCUCAACAAUUUUGAUUGUUAUUUUUAUUCCUUGAUUACACUUUUGAAUUUUGAUUUUCUAAAUUUGAGACUGUACUCUCUUGUUUGCUUCCAUUAUUUUUUUCCCUGUGUAUGUCUGUGCUUUUAUAUAAUAUAUAUAUAAUGGUUAAAAAUCUUUUUAAAUUAUUUAAAAAUAUUUAAAUAAUUUAUUAUUUUUUCAUUUUAACUCUUAUAUAUCUUUAUUAUUAAAAUUGACAAAUUGUGUUAAUUAAAAUAUCAUUUAUUAUUAUUUUUACUCACAUAAUCUUAAGAUGAAUAUGAAAUAUGUCAUGUGAUUAUGUUAUUAUGUUAUGUUAAUAUGUGUUUUUAGACCUACUUAACUCAAAAUAAAAACAUAAAAAACUUGAUAAUAAAAUAAAAUAAUAAUUAAAAAAAAAAUUUUAAAUUAUUCCUGAAUUUUUAAGGCAUUAUGCUUUUUUAUAUUUUGUUUUGAUUUUGUUUCUUAAAAUAAAGACCACUUCAACAAAAAAAAAAAACUUUGUUCUCAACAAUUUUGAUUGUUAUUUUUAUUCCUUGAUUCCAUUUUUGAAUUUUGAUUUUCUAAAUUUGAGACUGCACUUUCUUGUUUGCCUCCAUUAUUUUUCUGAUCAUGUAUUUCCAAUCCUUUGCAUGGUUGAUUUUAUGCUUCAAGUGUUUAAUUAACCAUUCCUUAAUGCAUAAUACAUGCUACAUGUGAUAAUUGUUACUAUAAAUUAGAUCAAAAUAUAUGCUUUUAAUGUAAUGAUAAAUGAAAGAUUUAGAUGUUGAAAAAGCAAAAGGUGAAAAAGCUACAUGUUAGUUGAAUCAAGUAAAGUCAUUUAAAUAUGGGCUUCUAUUUUAUAAAUAAUAAAAGCUAACUAACUAAACAAUACAUUUAUCAUUUUAUAAUAAACGACAACACAUUUAUGUUAUAAUUGAUUAAUACUAUAUUUUUUUAUAAGUAGUUGUAUAUUAUAAUCAAAAUAUAAAAUUAUAGUACUUCAAUAUUUAGUUUAAUGAUAGAUAUAACAUAUAUAUAUAUAUAUAUAUUGUAAAUGUAAAUGAAAUAUUUUAAUAAUAUAAAACAUGUGAUUAAGAUAGCAAAGUUGAUUGUGUGGAAAAUAACAAAUACCCAAAAUUAUUUAAUUUUCUUCUAAAAUUCAAAUAUCUCAAUUUCGAUUUCAGAAGAAAAAAGUAAAUAUUACAAAUACAAUUAAUUAAACAUAAAAAACCAAUCAAUUAUCAACAAAUUAACAUGUUACCAAAAGAAAAUUCAAUAUAAAAUUAGAAUAAAUGAAUGAACUCAAAAUAUACAUAAUAUAAUGAUUUUAAAUCUUUAUUGAAAUAUUUGGAUCAAAGGCACAAGGUGAGGAGGUUUCCCUUCACAUAGGGCAAACCAAAGUCGGUGGAAAUUGAGUUGCAGACGAUUGGGCAGUGCCUUGGGUUUAUCACCUUUUUAGUCAAAGUUUGGAAACUUAUUAGUGCGAAUCUUGCAUGUUGAAGUUGGCGCACUUGCUCUCCGUUUUUGUUUUCUUCUAAUUACUUUGGACUUUCAAUUAGAUGAUUGACUGCCUUUUUCUUUCUUUCUUUUGUCACUUUAUACAUGUUGGAAUUGAAAAUGAUUCCUCCACGUAGGCCAUAACUAUGUGCAAAGUAAUUCUUCUAGAUAGUGAAUAUUACUAUUUCUUAUUUUAAAAAUGACAUAAACAAAAAAAAAGCAUAAAAAGUUGAACCUUGUUCUUCUUUUGGACGAGUAUAAAGAUCCUUGGUUAAAAUCAAUUGAGCUUUUUUUUUUUAUAAUUGAGAGAUAAGAGAUUCGAAUUCUGCUUUUUAAAUAAGGGAUAAUGCACCAACCAAUGAGCUAAAUACUCGAAUGUCAAUUGAGCAUAUGAUUUAGUAAUAGAUACUCGUAUCUCAUAUUUACAAAAUUGAGUUUAAAACUAUUUUUUUUUUUAAAAAUUCUUCUAAUUAACAAUAAAGUCUCAAUCUAAAAUUCUAUUUACAUAAUCUUGACCAUUGGACAUAAAUCUCGAUGGCAAUGAAAUGAUUUUUGUUGACCUAGUAUAUAUCUUGUACAUGUUAUCUUUGAGAUUCAAUUGAUUUAGAUAAAGAGUUUAUAAUUUUAAUUUUAUCUUGAUUUAUUUUUUGAAUAAGAGUAUUUCAUUUCAUAUCAGAAUAAUUAGUCAUUACAAUAUGUAUUACUACAAAAAGAACAGUUCAAGCCCCCAUAUUGUAACUUGUUUUAUUGCAUGGAGAAGAGCUUCAUUAAAAAACUUCUCAUGAACCCAUUGAGAUAAAAACCAUGAAAAGGAAAAAAGGGUACUCAACUGCCAUGCCCUUACAUUCCUACCUCCAUAACUAAGUAAGAUAGUCCUUUGUAAAGCUUGUUGAGCUCCCACUGGUAAUGAAGGACUAUGUCUCUAGAUGGUUUAAUCCAUUUCGGCAACCAUUGAUGACUUAGCAAUCCCGUGAGCUACCAUGUUGGCCUCUUUUUUACGGUGCAAAAUCUCAAAUGAGUUAAGUUGGUGCAGAAGCAUGCAACAAGCUUCAACAACCUGCCCCACUUCACUAGUAAAUUUUCUAUCCUUAAUCCAGGCAGCCACUUGUAAACAAUCCAUCUCCAUUUCAUGAAUUACAAGUUUUUGAGACCAAACCAUUAAAGCCCAAAGCAAGGAUCUUAGUUCAGUAAUAGCCGUGUUUCUGAUAGACCUAAACCUCUUUCUUCCAACAAUUAGCAACUCACCAACAGGCCCUCUAACUAUGAAACCCACCGUAGCACAACUUAUUCCAUUAAUACCGUAAAGAGCAGCAUCACAAUUUAGUUUAGUAAUAGAUGGACACUUCCACCGAUCACAACUCAAUUCAACAUUUAGUUGAGGCGGUCGUUCUAUCACAACUACAGCCCUGUAUUGAGUGUACAUAUCUAUCCCCAUCUGAACCACUUGGCGCAGAUUCAAUCUCUCAUUCUUGAACACAGUUGAGUUACGACCCUUCCAUAAAACCCACAUAACAUAGCAAACCUCCUCCAUACUAUUUUUAUCUAAAUAUUGUAAGAGCAUACUGACCCACUUUUUUAUGGAGGAUAAAUGAUAUGAGAUGUCUCAGAAACCCCAUUUGGUAACCAACCAAGCAGCCUUGGCAAAAGAACAAGCACACAGGAUAUGAAAAUCUAUUUGCUGGUCUGCAUCACAUAGUGGACAACUAGCAUCAAUUGUAAUGUUCCUUCUUGUCAGCACAUUUCGUGUUAGGAGACAUCCGUGAAGAGCGUGCCAAACAAAUAAAAGGAUUUUCCUGGGAAUGUUUAGGCUUCAAAUCUUCUUUGCAGUUGUCAUACUCUCAGAUGAACUUGCUGUAUUUCCAACAACCAUUGAAUCUCGGCUCAACACUUUAUAUCCCAAUUUAACUGUAUACUCACCAAUAGCACUAUGCUGCCAAACUAGACAAUCUUCUGGCCUUCGUAAAUUCAAAGGUAAUGAUAGGAUUAGGUUGCAUUCCUAAGGUGGAAAAUAGGCUCGUAUCUUUUCUUCAUCCCAAACCAUCUGCUCAUGCACUAUAAACUCACUGAUCUUUGUCGAAUUUGACACAAUGUCUGCACAAGAUAAAACUGGGUGUGGUGUGUCAUAUGGUAUCCAGUUACUCUUUCUAGCAAGAAUAUUCUGUCCAGUACCAACCCUCCAAUAGGAGCCACUUUUAAUAAGACUCCGACUUUUUUUGAUGCUCCUUCAUAAAUAGAUUGGAUUGAUCCCACUAGAGCCUCUAAAAAAUUUACAUUAGGGAUAUUCUUGGCUUUUAACACCUCAUAGGAAAUCGUAAGAUUCUUCAUUUGCAACCUCCAACCUUGCUUUGACAACAUAGUCAAAUUAAAAUUACUAGUGUCUCGAAAGCCCAUACCUCUAGAAUGUUUUGAAGGACAAAUAAAACGAUAGUCCUUCCAAUGAAUUUUUGAGCCUGUAGCAUUACCUCCCCACCAAAAUUUAGCAAUAGUCGAAUCAAUAUUCCUAUAUAAUCCAUCCGGUAAUUUAAAGCAGCUCAUUAUGUAAGUUGGUAUUGCUUGUGCCAUAUCCUUGAUUAAGACUUCUCUACCAGCUAUUGAGAGUAGUUUAUUUUUUCAAUUGGAAAUUCUUUUUAAGAUUUUCUCUUUUACACAAUUAAAUAUCUGCUUCUUCGAACCUCCACAAAUGAACGGCAUACCAAGAUAAUAACCACCCCAUUGAUCCCUUCGUACUUCUAAUAACUAACAAGCUGCAACAACAUCUGAUUCACUUGUAUUCUUACUAAAAAGGAUAGGACACAUUUCAAGAUUGAUCUUUUAGCCUGAUGUAUAUUCCUAAACUGUAAAUAAGUUUUUUAAAUACAUUAGCUCUUGAAUUUAUGUCUUCCCAAAAAUCAUACUAUCAUCCGCAAAGAAAAGAUUUGUAAUAUUGGGACUACCCCUAUUCACUUGCAAUCUCGAAAUUCUUUUACUUUCCUUUGAUGCUGACAACAAGGAAGAUAAAGCUUUAAAAAUAAUUAUGAAAAGAAAAGGGAACAAAGGAUCACCUUGGCUCAACCCACUGAUAGACUAAUCAUAUUUCCCUGGACUCUAUUAACAAGCACUGAAUAAGUAAUUGUUGAAAUGCACUGCAUAACCAUAUAUAUCUACAAAUUUAGCAUUAAAACCCAUCCUGUGCAAAAUACCUUGAACAAACGGCCAUUCAACCCAAUCAUAUGCCUUACUCAUAUCUAGCUUGAGGGCAAAAUUUCCCAUUUGUCAUGCCUCUUAUUAUGCAAAAAGUGAACAACCUCAUGAGCCACAAUAACAUUAUUUGUAAUCAGUUUGCCAGGUACAAACGCACUCUGAUUUCAGAAAUUAUGACAGGCAUAAUUUGACUUCAAUCUAUUAGUUAAGACCUUAGAGGCUAUCUUAUAUAGGACAUUGCGUAAGCUUAUUGGUUUGAAUUGACUUUCCAACUUCAGAUGAGGAACUUUUGGAAUCAAAGCUACUAAUGUGUGGUUGAUACCUUCAAAGCUUAAACAUCUGGCAAGAAAUUCCUUUACAAAACGGUGAAUGCUGAGACCCAUGACAUCCUAGAAUCUUUGAAAAAAUAAGGCAGGGAAUCCAUCCGAGCCAGGAGCCUUUAAUGAAGCCAUCUGAAAUAGUGCCAACCAGACCUCUUUAAGUGUAAUAUCAGCAACUAAAGCCUCAUUCAUUUCCAUUGUAAUGCACAGUUGGAUAUAAGCCAAUACCUCUUCUAUCCUUGAUGGGUUAGAAGUAGUGAAAAGAUAUGAAAAAAAAUUCAUAUAUCUUAGAAGAAAUAGCAACAUGCGAGUCAACCCAUUCACCAUUCAUUUUUUUCAGAGCCCAUAUUGUAUUUUGUUCCUUCUCUCUGUUGCUCUUUGGUGAAAAAAUUUUGAAUUUUUAUCGCCAUUUUUUAACCAAGCAACCCUUGAUUGUUGUUGCCACAUAUCCUUCUCUUCUCUUGCUAACUUUCACACAUUUUUCUGUAAAGACUUUAAUUCGUUGAUUAGCCAACAGUGAAACUUCUUCCGCAUGAGCAUCUUACAAUUCUUUUUGCUUUUCUUUAAUUCUAUCCUAUAUAUCUUUCAAUGGAUUAGACUAAAUAGAAUUAAAUAAUAAUUUAACAUCAUGAAGUUUACCAAGAAAUUCUCUAAAGGAUGCUUCUUGGUUUCUCCAUUCUUCAAUUACCCUUUGCACACAUGCUUCAUCAUUCAACCAAACUGACUCAAAAUGGAAUCUACAUUUCCAAUGAACUUGUUUUUGAUAAUAUAAAUCCACCCUCGGAGCUAGAUGAUCCGAAGCUCCCAAAGAUUCAGUGAAAAUGGCCAUUCUCAAAAUUUUGCAGACUAAAUCUUGUGUAGCCAUCACUCUGUUUAAUCUGCAUCUUAUGAGUGCUUCCUCAUCUCUGUUAUUCCACCAUAUAAACUUAGGUCCCCUUUACCCCAAAUCUCAUAACCCACAAUCUUGAUUUUUUUAGUUGCUUCAAAUUUAGAAUUUUCUUUUAUUUUUAAGAAUAACAUCUAACUAUGGAAAAGACUAUGUUAUUAGUCAAAUGAAUUUCCUUACAAGUAAAAGAAAGAGAAAAGAGGAAGAAAGAUCCCUUUCUUACUUUGUGGGAAAGUACAAAAUCAUAUAUUAGGAUUCACAUGGAUAAGUAAAAAAAGAGUUUUGGAUUUAUAAAUGUGGAUGUUUUAAAUUUUAAUAGAUUAAUAUUUCGGAGAGAGAAUAAUAAUUUCGUGACAAAGUGAUAUCAGAGUCAAUCCAGAUUUAAUUUUGAUAUCAUACCAAAGCUCCAAUGGGUGAAGAAAGUAAAGAGAUCUGACAUUCUGACCUAUGAUGAAAACGUAAAAAAUUGAAGUAAAAAAAUAAUUUUAAACUUAUAAAUAUAAACGUUGCAUAUAUGAACAAAUUAAUGUUGUAAAAGGGAAAUAAUUACCAUUAUGAUAAAUAGUUACCAGACAAUGAUGAGAAUCUUAAACAAGAAAAGAGGAGCAAAUUCUCCGGGCAGUCGCGCGUUGGUUUGAUUCUAACAUACUUAUUGGCAAAUGUGACAACUCAUCAAAUCAAAGCCAACUUUUUGUGGUCCGUUUUCAACAAAUGUGGUCAUUUUCUAUGUCUUGUGUCUAAUCCAACAACUAACCAGACUUUUGCUCUGCUUUGUAGAUGGCUAUUGCUUUGAAAAUAUGAGCACUUGUCUCUAGCUUUACCACGCCUCGCAAAGCAUAUUCAAAUUUAAAAUUUUAUUUUGAAAGUUUUUACUUAAAAUUUUGAAAUGGAUGGGAUUAAAUUUUAUAAACAAAGAAUUUUUCUUUCAUAAAAUUUUUAUGUAUAAAAGAUAUCCACUUAUCUUUUUUAUGUCAUCUGAAAAUAAAUCUCAUGAUAUGUUUGGUUUACGAAAUGAAAUAGAGAAACAAUAAAAUCACUAUUCUAUGAUAACAGAAUUGAACAAAAAUAAUUAUUAUAUUGUUUGAUUCAUGAAAUAGAAUUAUUUUUACGACAUUGUAAGUAUACUUUCAAUAAAUUAUGAAUAUGCCGUAAUUAUCAUUUUUAGCCUAGAUUGAUUAGAAAUAGUAUGCAUGCCCCUGCUACAUAGGAGUUAAUGCAAAAGAGUUGAAAAACCUUUAAUAUAUAAGCAAAUACUGAUCAACAAUUUAUCAUAAGAACAUAUUAUAUCAGUCAUGAAUAAGGAGAGAGAUGGAUGCCAUAAGCAAUGGGUGUCUCAUUCUUUACCCAAAAAAACAAGAAACAAAGUGUAAGCUUAGAAAUUGUUUGCAACUGGUCAUGGAGAAAUUUAUCAAGUAGUUGACAUAACAAGUGCAAACAUUAUUGCUUUUAAUAUGGCACUCAUGUAGCAUCCCAUUUUCUCAACUCCAGUUAUGUAAAGAAAUUUCUUGCAUGCAGACCAGGCUUUGUCAUGGGGGCCAAAUCCUCACCAAUGGCUUGCCUUGUCGUUGUCAUCAAACAAGGUUAGAAAAGAUGCAUGCGAUGCUUCAAGUAACAUGGGAUCUAUCUGAAACAUGUAAAAUAAUAAUAGCCCAACAUCAUUCCAAAAGCUAAAAAAAUAUAGAAGAUUAAAUUAGAAAGGAAGAAAGAAAUUUCAAAUGGUAAAACCAGUUGUCAAAGCAUUACCAUGAGUGUCAUUAGCAUUUGUAAGCCCUGCAAGCAAAGGGAAUGCUAACAUAUCGUUACCAGGACUGUCAAGUGUAGAGAAUUCAGACCCUGUUUGCUCAAUAGUUGCUUCCUGCUGACUAAUAUUUAUGCAAUUAUUUGACAAAGAGGAAUUGCCAUAAAUGGGUUUCCCAGAGUUCCCAGGUUCGGGAGAUGGAGUCAACAGGGUUGAAGGAGAUGAGACAUAUGGAGCCUGAGGUGAAGAUAUAAGAAAUUGAGGAUCCGAUUUUAAUGGCUCAUGUGAAUAACUAGGAAGCUGGCUAGUUGGGAGAAUUUGUUGAAGAUUAACCCCAGGAUUAACACCUAUUCCCUGUCUCAUGUUCACGUCAUUUGAGUCAUUCAUUGGAUGCGGCUGUGGCAGUUCAUGUGUUUUUAUCUGUGCAGGUGGCUGCUUCUUAGCAAGAUGGUGCAUAUAUUGCUGUUGCUGAUCGUGCUGUUCCUGCAUUUGUUGCUGUAAUGGCUGCCCCUGCUGCUUAAUCUGUGGUAUUAUUGGCUCACAACCUUGUGGCAUCAUUGAUUUCGACUGAAGGUUUAUCUGAUUAUCAUCUGACUCUGAUAUCCACUUCCUGGGCCUAAUUACUUCAUAAAACUUUAUUAUUUGCCUCUCAUAUGAGUCCAACUUCUCUUUGUGACUAGGUAAUAUAUCACUUUUAGAAACAGUAAGAAAGUCUACAAUGUGAUCGAACAUAACCUUCGAUAUUUCCAAAUUGUGAAGCAGCUCGGAAUCUGCUUGCAGAUAAGAAUAAUACCGGAAGUGGACAACAAGAUUAGAAUUUUAGCAAUAGUUUCAAGUAAAUUACAAACCAUUUCAAAGCUAAUGAGCAUAAAUUAAGUAGCAAUAAAUAGUUUCUGCAGGAAGGGGAUGCAACAAGCCAACCACACCAACAUUGGACUAAAGCUUUCUUAUGUCGAAUCCUAGCUUCUUUUUCUGUUCUUUUCAGGGAUUCCUAGAGGGGAAUUAUGGUUCAAAUGGGUUUUCAAACUCUCUUACUAAGGUGAAGCAGUGAAUAUAUGAAAUCGUAUAAAAGAAAAUCUUACCUGCUCUAGUAAAACAGCAAUUUUUUGGUGCGUUUCACUUAAUGCAGGUAAGUACUUCUCUUUCAUUGCUUUGAUCUGCAAAGUAAAACACAUAAUGAUUUAACUACUGAGUUUAUUGAAGAUCAUUGAUCUACAAAAGAAUAUUGUUGCAUCUAAUAGCUUCAACAAAAUACAUAGACUAUGAUAAAUGGCAUAAGCCUCUAAAACAUUUAUUCGAUCUUUAAUGUCUUUUCCAUAAGACAACUGAAUCCAUUUUCUUGCUACAAUCUAAUAACUCACACCUUAGAUAAUCUUUAAUACGAUGUUUCUAAUUUACUAAUGCAUUCUAGCCAUUUUUCUACCCCAAAUUAGCAAUCAUUCAGAUACCUCAAAACUGUAUUGGGAACAAGUCAGUAAGUGCAUUUAAUCUGCAGGAGUAGUCAAGAUAGUUUACUGUUCACCUUUUGAUAGACCUCCUCUUGCAAAUCAUCUCCAAUUGCAUGUCUUUUCUGGUUUGCAACAUCCAGAGAUGCUACAACAAAUUGUAUAAAUUGAGCAAAUGUAACAAACAUGCAACUUUAAGGUUGAGAGAAAAUAAGUAAGAAAAAGAAACAUUAUCUUCUUUGCACUUCUUCGAAAGUUGAAUAUUUCCAUCAGUAGAGGUAAAGAAAUAGAUAAGGUUAAGCCAAUGCUUAGAUUUCUAUUGUACAAUCAAAGGAAGGUUUGGCUUAUACUUCCCCAUGUCCCAAAACAAGCAAUUGAUUACAAUUUAAACAAAAUAAACUUUAAUAUAGAACCUGCCAAGAUUGAAAUGUAAUUACUUUUAACACCAUUUCUGCAUUUCAUGUUGGCAUAACUUGUUUCUUAUAAUCCAAUGCCUUGUAUAAAUAUAUCAUGCAUCCCUCAUUGACCCAAAACUUGAACAUUUGUAUCGCAUUUUAGUCCUACACUUUGAUACUUUCAAGCUAACUAGCUAACUUUAGGCCUUGGUUUGCAUUUAGAAGCAAGAUUACCAGUCUAUGAUAGUUGAUGGUUAUUGUGGUGAUGCAAGAGGUAGUGUUGGUGUUUGUCAUAGAAGCACUGAUUUGUCAACUAAUAACCUAGAUAUUUGAAAGAUAGUGAGGUUCUCAAACAUGGUUUUUAUGCUAGAGUAACAAAGCAACUUCCACCUCGAAAGAAGAGAAGAAAGGAUAGAAAGAUUAUUCCUAACACACACACACACACACAGAGAAGUGGAUAACACAUGCAUGGAAGAAAAGGCUGCAAGGGAAUUUCUCAUUUGAUCACCAUUGGAAUAGUUAUCACUUCUUUAACUCACCUCUACCAAAACAAAUUAUGCACUUGGUUAUAAUAUUACUACUUCUGAAUUGAAUGAUAAAACAAAGGAAGCACAAAAAACAAAAUACUAUUACCUAUCACCAAAAAAAAAAAGAGAGAAAAGGAGUGCAAAAUUCUAUUUCAUGUGAUUACCUGGUUUAGGGAGAUUGCUACAUUUGCCAAAAGUGUUUGCAAUGUUCUGAGACAUUACCUCCAAUUUCAGCAGCUUCAAACAUACUCUCCUUAGAUAAUCCGAUUGAAAUUAGAAAUCAAUAAGAAUUAAGAAGCAUAGAUUAAUUGAUGUUCACUUAUUUAUUGAAUUAUAAAAGAAAAUAUAGAAAGAUGAUCAAGUUUUUCUCCUCUUCAUAUUGAGAAACCAACACUUUUUUGCCCUUGACAGCAUCUGGGAUAUGCUGCUACAAUCAACAAAAAUGUGCCAGCAUACAAAUCAUGGACGGCCAUAAUUUUAUGGUUACCUCGUUGCUUGCUGCAAUAUAAAAUUUUCCCUCAUAUCUUAUAGCAAUUUCCCAGAGUUCAUUUAAUGCCUCUUCCCCAGAAAAUGGAGCGUGUCUCGUCAACCCAUCAAAUCUACAUAUGCAAAGACAUUGCAUUAGUAACGCUAAUGAAUAAGUUAAAAUCUUGACAAUGGAGUAAAAAUAUAUUUACAUCUGGUUCACAAUUCUUUGUCGCGAUUCACUCUGCCAUUCGGUUCUCUACUCACCUGUCUCCAUGGCGGCAAGCUCCUUACUUGGAAGCUUAUGCUACAAGUCACUGGUAUUCUUUAAUGACUAACAAAAGAAAUAGUCACAAAUGCUUUAAUCAAAUUAGAUUUUAAUAGGAGACAAAACCUAAAUUAUAUCUAUGGCUAAACAAUUACUUUAAAUUAUUUUCUUCUUUUGAGAAUUAUUAAAAAAAAAAGAAAGGCGUGAUCAUACCAAUAUAUCAUACAUAAAACUAAAAAGAAAAAAAAGUAAUUUUAGACAAAGCACUAAUAAAAAUCGAAUCCUAGAUCUUUAUCUUUAUAUUUAUAGGGUAGCUGUUACAAACAAGUAAUAUCGGAGCUUAUUCUUUUCCAAUGAGCAAAAGCAAAAACUUCUUGUCUUUCUCACUUGUGGAGUUGUGUUGAGUCACAAUCUGAUUAUCGUAUUCCAAAAUCUUAGACUCCAAAUGCUUUUUUUUUUUGUAUUUGUUUUUUAAUUAGGAAAAUAGGGAUUCAAAUCCUGAUUUUUGAAGUAAGAGGAUCAUGGAUUAAUUAUUAAAUUAAAUGUUUAGAUAUUCUUGUUGUUGGUAAUAAAUUAUUCAUUUCGACUAUAUAAAGAUAGUAAUUUAUAUCUCAUCUCGUAAUGUUUUAUUAAAAAUUAUUAUUUACAUAAAUUGUUUUGAAAAAUUGAUGUAAAACAAAAACAAAAAAUGAAUAGAAGAUAAUUUAAAAUAUACAAAUAAUUAAAAAGGUACAACAAAUUAUAACUUUGUUAGUCUAUGUAUAGAGGUCGAACCAUAUAUUAUGUCAUCUAAAAAAAUUAUGUAUUUUGUGCAUAAUCCUUUUUAAAAAUAUUAUAUAUUUUUAUAUCUAAACUUGCAUUUUUUUUUGUUUUAAUUUUAAAAUAUAAAAACAAACAUAAAAAAUGUCAAUCGAAUUAGGUCCACAUUCAUCUCAAAUAAUUAUAAUAAUAAUAGCUAAUUUAGUCAAGAGGUUCAUAUCAAUACGGUUAGACAUUUUCAAUAAUAAUAAUGUAAGAAUAUAAUGAAGAAAAUCCUUUGAACAAUUAUGUCAGUUCAAAAAAGUACCUUUGUCCAAACAAUUAAGUUUGUUCAAAUAAUUAUAUGUUUAAAAAGUUGUGUUUGUACAAAGAAACAUCUUUGUUUAUAAAUAGAAUUCUCUAGUUUUCUGAAAAUGAAUCAAUUGAAUGAUUUGUAAUUAUUCUCUCCACCAUCUUCAAAAUUUUUCUUAAAUUGUUUCUAUAUUGUUUGUUGCAAAAAGAAAAGAAAAAAGCUCUAAAAGUUUAAUAAUUUUGUAAUACAUCAAUAAGUGCUUAAUAAAUUGAGUUCGUCAAUGUAAAACGCAAUCAAUCAUUGGAUUUCAUUGUAUUCACAAAAUUUAUAUGUGAAGGUGAAUAUAAUCUUAAGGAUAGUGAUAUUGAUACACGUCUUGAAGUCAUCUCAUUAUUUUUCAGUCCCCUUCGAACAAACCCAAAUUCGAAUAGUAGCAAAUGUUAAAAUUUUAAAACGAGUAUCGAACCCAAAAUCAAUUGAAAAUAAGUGGAGAAGCUUUUGUUAUAUUUAAGGUGUCACAACAUCCCUAAUUUAACUAAUCUGAAAUUUUUUUAUUAUCACUUCAAUGGCUCCCAUCACUUACGAGAAUAAUGAAUUUAUCACAUGUCAUGAAUUAUGAAAGAUGCAACCAAUAGAGACAAUGCCUGCUUUGGUUGUUACUAUGAAAUGCAUAUUAAUGCUCUUCUUAAAUAAAUCAUAUAGUGUUCUAAAGUAGGAAAAAGUAUUACUAAUAAAUUAAGUUCACAAAAACUCCUUCUCAUUCAUCUGUACAACGUAUAAGCUAAACCAUGUACGUAUGGUCCUUUUUGUACUUUUACAUACGAACUCAUUCUUAAAAUAAAAAUCAUCAAAAUGCAAAGGAAACUGUGACAAAUUACUUAUUGGUCCACUUUCUCUUGACACUAUGCCAUCUUUCUGCAAUCUUUAAAACUGGAAAACUUGUUUAGAGAAAGCUAAAUAUCAUUAAGGGGCAAGCAAAAGAACAUAAUUUCAAAUUGAAGAAGACAUGCCUGUGUAAUCCAAGAGUAGAAACUAAAAACAACCCAAAACUUUUGUAUGGCAAAGAAAGAAACCUAGAACCUGGGUUAUAACCAAAAAAACAGUCUACAACAUUACAACAAAAAUGAAACUUUGCUUUCCUGUGUUUGAUCAAGGAAGAUGAAAAAGAUACGAAGAAGAAGAACCAGUUGUCCUACUGUUAUUGACUAGAUCGUCAAAAGAAACAAAGACUUUGCUCAAGGCCUUAGGCUAUCAUGUUUCAAGUUUUGGCUGAAAUUAGUACCCUAGCUAGCUAGACGAACCAAAAAGCAUAAGUUGAGCCGUGAAGUCCAUUCUUUUUCCUUUUUCUGCACCCCCUUUCCUGUACUUUUUCUUGGCCAAUGUCUUGGUUUUCUUUACUUACUAUCAAAUUUUGUUUGUCAUUGCUCAGUACACUUCAUAAUAAGAAACACAAUCUUUUCCAAACGUUUAAUUCAUAUUUUAUCUCUUCUAAAAUUAAAAGAAAAAAAGGUUCAUUAUUUAUCACCUUCGUCUGGAUUUGAUCAAAUCAACAAAAUCAACGUUCACAUCGAAGUUAUCUUCGUGGUUGUGAAAAUUAGAUAUGAUUUGGCAAACUUAGGAUAUUGUUCCAGCACAUCAAGUUUAUCGUUUUCAUGGACAACAGCAUUUGAUGAAGUUUGUUGGCAAGCUAUUGACAUUGUACAUUUCUCAUUCCUAAUGGAACUUAUAGUUCAUCUGAUUUUGCCAUGAAACAGCCCUUGAGUCACUUUUGACUGGCUGCAGGGGCAGACAAAGGUGUCACAAUGCAAGGCAUGGGAAAUUGUCUUUACUGCAGUCAAGGAGCCAUAACUCUUUUUCUCUUCGCAGCAACACAAACAGUCCGGGACUGGCUCUCCAGUGUAAGCAUCUUGAGUGAUAUUCUCCUUAGAUAAUCUGACUGAAAAUUCAGAUUAUUACAACAUUGUAGAUCUUCAAAUUUUUACUUAAAGCAACAGAUUAAUGAGAGAGAGGCUAACCAAAUAUUUUCUGUUGUUCAUUCUCAUAAAUUCACUGUGCAAUGCAUAACUUAAGUGGUAUGAGUAUGUAUGUAUGUUAUGUUACUUGGAGGGUGAGUAUCGAAUAUGAGUAUAUGUUGGCUGCAGAUAAAUUUCUUAUAUUUGGAAGGUCAAACCUCAUCCACAAUGACUACUUCAUGAAAAAUGAAAAGUCUGGGCAACAUACUGUGUAUGUGCCAGAACAUAAACUAUGUGAUAAGAAGAUAACAAAAGAAUGAACCAGGAAAAAUAAAGAAAGACAGAAACAAAUGUUGGCAAACAGCAACAUGCACCCACGAGUGAAUAUAUCCACACAUAUUGACUCAAACGGCAUAAACUAGUACAUAUACAAAAACACCCAAACUAUAGAAUGCCGGCAUUUUGUGAUUACCUGACUUGUUGCAACAGCAUAAACCUUUUCCUCGAACCUUGCAGCAAUCAUCCUGAUUUCGUUUAAUCCCUCUUGGCCAUGACAUGGCAGGUGCCUUUUGAGUGUAUCCAUUCUACACAUGGAAGGCAUUACAUUAAUAAGUAUUUUAAAGUUAUUAAUCACUUAGACAUGGAAUAUUUAGACUCCAUUUAUUAAUACUUCUGCUUUUUUCUAUUUGUCUCUGAUCUUCUAUUCAUCUUUUAAUCUUUUGCAAAAAAAUCAAAAGUUUUGACCAAACUAUAGCUUCAUAACAACACAUGAAAACCCUUAAUAAUAAAAUUCAAUGGUAACACAAAAAGGUAAGAUCACCAAAAUUUCUACGUAAACUGUGAAAAAAUUCAAAUAAAAAUAUAAAUAAACACUAAUAAAUUUCCCUUCAAAGUGGCAAUGGAUUUUCUAGACUUCAAUAUACAGAAAUGAUAGAUAUGGACAUUUAGUUCAAAAUUUUAUCAAUAUGGAAAGAUUGAAUAUCAUGGGCCUCCACAGAUCAACUACUCAGUAGGCAAAUAUAUAUGCCGAAAAUUUGUGACUCCAACUAAUAAAAAAGAAACAAACAUGACUUAAUUCUGAGUGCUGCAUUCAAGCACUUGGAAUCACAAACAAAAUCUAUCAUUCAAUUAUUGAGAUGAAGGCACAAGAAUUUCUAAUUACCAUGCCAAAUUAUUAUCUUAAUAAAUUUGUAACUUAAUUUGCCACAUUACCUUUUUUUUUUCCUGCCCAAAACAUUACAAUGUAAAAGGGAAUUUAAAUUCCUAUAAUUAUGUCAACCAGAAAAAAAAAAUCCUAUAUGGGAAAUUAAAUUCCCCAAAAUUGGUACAAAUAGUAUAAAUGAACAAUAAAUUUAUCUAUAUAUUAGAGAAAAGAAAAUUUCAUACAUCUUGUUGACAAUUCUUUGUCGUGACUCAGGUUGCAGCUGCAACUGCCACAACUCCCUCGGAUCACCGGUGACGGUGGUAGCCUCUCCACUUGUAGUUGCCUCUGAAUUAUUUGUAUCCAUUAUAUAUAUCCUAAUUCCUAACCCACAACAAAGAAAAGAAAGAAAUUGUCAGCAAUUAUUUUCACUUUUCCUGUGAAAACAUUUCCCCAGUAAAUUUUUCUUUACACACAAAAAAAAAAAGAGAAAGAAGGCUACGAAUGCAGCUUUCAAAUCCCCAAAUCUGAGACUGAAAAAUUAAAGAAAACUUUAAAUUGUUUUAUAAGAUCAUAAUCUCAUGGUCUCAAUUGUAGAAAAGAGGAAGAAUAAAAAAGAAUUUAAAAUAUAUAAAAAACAGAAAAUUGGCAGAAGAAGAAGAACCUGGCGUCUGUUUGCAGCCUAAGUUGAGUGCAGAAAACUAGAGGACGCGGAGAGACGGAAACUUCCACACAGCGUUACCUUUUUAUAACAAUUAUAGCCUUUUGUUUUUUUUUUUGCAGGAAUACCCUCUCAAAUUUUGUAUAUUAUCUUUCCCACCCAAAACUUACAACUUUGAAUUGCAAUUUCUUUAUUUAAUUUAUUUAUACUACAAAAGUUACCUAAUUUUGGAUGAUUUUUGUAAUGUUUUAAAAAAUUCUGAACUAUUCAAAAAAAUUUAAAUAUAUUUUUAUUUUUUAUCUAUUCAAAAAAAUUUUAUAUUUUUAUUUUGAGUCAAAUAAAUAACAUGUCGUAAUAGAUGGUGAUAUGACAUGUUAAUGUAAUAUGAUGACAUGGUUUAUAUUUUUCAUCAAUCACAUCAACACUACGUGAGUGUAAAAUGAUAAGUGCCAUUUUAAUUAAUAGCAUGUUAACCUUUAAUUGUGAGGACCUGUUUAGGCAAAAAUAAAUAUAUAUGAACUUGAUUGAACGUAAUAAAAGAAUAAAAAAUUAUUUAAAUUAUUUAUGAAUAGUUUAGAAAUUUUUUAAGUAUGAUGUUAUUUUUAAAAAAAAAAUUAAAAAUGCUAUUUGUGUAGUAAUUUAGAUAUAUAGGCUUGAUUUCUUAAAAUAUUUUAUUGAAAAUUUAAUACUUUAUUUUAUUUGUAUUAACUGUUGAAAAUAUUUUUUUAUUGUUAGAUCAUUUAUAGAAAACAGUUUUAUCAUGACCCAUCUUUAAUAAUUUUUUAUCAUAACACUAUAAGAAUAUUAACAUUCAUCAAUUAUGCAGGACAUUCAAAAUAUUUUUCAACAAUAAAAAAUUAUAUAUAAAUAAUAUUUACCUUUUUUAUUUAUUAAUUUCUAAUCCUAUUGUUAUACUGGUUAGUUUAUUAAGUGAAUAAAUCAUAUAUUGGAAAUUAAAAGAAAAGAGAGAUUUUCAUGUGUGAAAAACUUAUUUUCUACUUUAUAAUUUUUUUUAUUUAAUUUGAUUUUAAUUAUUUUGUAUUAUAUUAAUGAUUGUAGUAUUUUAAUAAAAUAAUUAUAGUGAUAUGAUAUCUAUGAAUUAAUUGAAUAAACAUAACUAAUGAUGCUUUGUUGGCAAAAAGUAUAAUAAAUAAAGAGAUGAAGAAAAAGGAAAAUAAUGAUACUUUAGUAUUUUAUUACUUUGUGGAAUUGAUCCCACAAGAAAGAAAAGACAAUAUUAUUAAAUAAUAAAUAAUAAAUAAUAAAUCAAUUUUAUUAAAUUAAAUAAUAAAUUUAUAAAAUGAAAUAAAUAAAUAAAAUAAAAAUUAUUUUCUGUUAUUUAAAAAUAAAAAGUAAAUGGAAAAGAAUAAAAAAGAAAUGUGAAAACGUAUAAGUCUUCUUAUAAUUUUAUUAAUUAUUGAAAGACAAAAAUGAAGAUAUAAAAAAAAUAUUUCAUUAAAAAUUUGUCAUUAAACAUUAACACCUUUUUGAGAAAAUUUUGUCGUUUAAAAAUCUAAAUGGACUUUCUGCACAUAGGUUAAAAAAUAUAACACUCGAUCACCUUUUUGUUUUAAGCUACAAUUCAAGCACCUUAACUCUACUAAUGCAAUAAUAAUAAUAAUAAAACUGAAGAAAAGAUGAAGGUAGCAAGGCGAAUGUGUACUGCUUGUAAAAACAAACAGAGAAAGGAGAGAAAAACAAUGUUUAUGUGAAAGAUGGAGUUAUUCAUUAUAAACCAAAAGCAUUUAUAGAAGUUAUACAAGGAUAACGCCUGUUAACAUGAUGGACAAGUGUUUUUAACUGAAACAUGCAUAAAGACACCUCAUAAACACUGGUACAACACUCUUAAUAACCAGUACAAUAAAGCAAAAUACAUAGUAAAACAAAAUGUUAAAGUCAAUGCAUGCUUUAACUUUAACACGAGGGCUUGGGAGCCCGGUUGAACACCAGUUUCUUGCUGAUGUCCAACAUUUGCAGCAUUUGAGAGAGAGGAAGUGGCUGGAACAGCUUUCUCAGAUUCCCCAAGCAUAGGGGAUGGGGCCAACGGAGUUGAUGGUGAAGGAACAACAAAAGGUGAGUUUGCAGAUUGCAAAGGGGUUCCAGUUUUUGAGAUGGAUGUUAGCAGGCUUUGCUGAUCAACCUGUGGGGAAGAAUGCUGAGGCAUCUGGGGAGAUGCAGCCUGAAGGAGAUGAGGUGAAGAAAAAGGAAAUUGAGAACCUGGUUUCAACUGUUGAUGGGUAUAAGAUAGGCGCUGGCCUGCUGGGAGAUGUUGUUGAAAGACCCCCGGCUUAAAACCCAUCCCCUUUCUCAUUUUCAUAUCAUUUACAUCAUUCAUCUGAUGCAGCUGUGGCAUCUGGUGUGUCUGCAACUGUGUGGGCAGCUGUUGCUUUGCUUGCUGUUGUUGCAGUAGCUGCAGCUUCUGGAUAUACUGUUGCUGCUGCAUCUGGCGCUGUUGAUACUGCUGUUUGAGCUGUUGUGACUGCAGCAUUUGUAGUUCCUGCUGUUUUAGAUGCUGGUGCUGAAGCAUGCUGGAAUUUGACUGAAGAGGAUUCAUGUUUUGCUGCAGAACACUUAUACCACUUUGUGAUGACAAACUGCUGAUAUUUGCUUGUUGGUAGGUACUCACAGGAUUUUGUUGUAAAGGUCCUGGAGCAACCUGCUGCAUUGAGCCUAAGGCAUUUCCUUGUCCUGAAUCCAAAUUGGAACCUGGCUGCAGCGAAUUUAACAUAGUCUGCUGUGCUGUUGAAACCCCAGGUAAAGAAGACAAAGAAUUGUGCUGCAAACUUGUCGUAUUGUUCGUCUGCAUUGUUGGCACAGAACCUUGUAUAUUUAUUGACUCCAACUGAGGGUUCAUUUGAUUAUCAUGAGACUGUGUCUGAUUAAUUUGAGGUUGUGGCUGCUGCAUGGAAUGCAUAUGAGGUGGAGGAAGCUGUCCUUGCUGCAGCGUUGAGGCAGGCUUCCUUGGCCUAUUGGUAUUUAUAAAAUUUAUUAUCUGCUUCUCAUACGAAGUCAGCUUAUCCUUGAAAGUGGGUAAGAUAUUUGCUUUGGAAACAGUUAAGAAAGUUAUAAUGCGCUCCAACAUGGUCUUGAAUAAUUUCAACUGCUCAAGCUGGUCUGACUUAGGCUGCUGUGGAAGAGAAUCAUGCUGGAAAAUAGUACACAUAAAAUUGUAUUAACAGACACAAGUAAACUUACAAACCACAAUUACACCAUAUAAGUAUAAAUGCAACCACUAAACAGUGCCUACAGGAAGGAGAUUCAAAUAGCAACCCAAAACCAGCAUGUAACCAAAAGCUUUCUAACGUGUAGUAGUGAAUCCCUAUUCUCCAAUGUUGUCAUGGUGCAUGCCUAGGCGCUAAGGCACUAAGGCACAGCACAAAUCAAGCAAAGCACCCUGCACCCCUUAAGGCAGGAGCCUUUAAUCUGGCCCAUGGCUUUUGCGCCUAGGUGCACCCUUUACAAGGCGAAAGGCACAGAAAAAGUGCGCCUAAGUGUCCUUUGGUUUCUUUAGGCUUUAAUUUGUUUUGUCAACCACUCUAUAAAUAGUCAAAACAGGCCAGUUUUAGCUCUAUUUCCAGGAAAAAAAUUGAUAUUAUAAUUGAUGCACAGCUUUUUGUUAUGGAAGUGAAGGAAACUUGGAACUUUGUUUGAUAACAUUGGUUAUGAUAAUUCUUGAUCUUUGGAACAAAUUAGGCAAUGUAACGGAGUAAACUCUUUAAUGUUUAUUAACAAAAUCAUAUAUUUUAAGCUUAUAAGACACAAUACAGAAUUUUCUUUGUACCGUAUAUAUAAUCAUGCGAGGUAAGUGUCCUAGGGCCUUUGACAACAUUGCUAUUCUCUAAAUUCUAUUUAGACAUACAAGGCAGCAGAGUACAGUGCAGGUUGGUCCCACCGCUCUGUGGAGGUUAGGGAAUGAAUAUAGAAGAUUAUGUAAAAAGAUAACCUACCUGCUGCAAUUUGGCAGCGAUUUUCUGGUACAUCUCAUUUAAUUCAGGCAAGUAUGUCUCUUUCAUGGUUUUGAUCUGCAACAUUAAAUCAGAAAACAGAACGGUCAACCAAUAAUUAAACCACUCAAUUUGUCCAAGUCUAAUAAUUAAUGAGAAAAGUAAAAAGAUCUUUUCAUUUGCUGACAAGCAGAGACUGAUUUUAGUUAACAAGUGAAGGAACAAAUGCAUCAAUAAAUGAUUAUUAAUGUAGUUAAAUCAUGCAAGAUAUCAUUGGUCUAUUUGACAGUUUGCUUGCUCACCAAUAUAACGGAUCUUUAAUUGACCGCUGAAGGCUUUAUAUAAGCUUUAUUUUCUUUCUUCUAAGAACAAGAUAAAAGAAUUCAAAUUCUUAUUAACAAACUAAUAAGACAUUCAAAAAUUGUCAGGAUUUCUCUCAUCAAAUUAGUUUCUUAAGUUCCUAAUUCUUUUCUUUUAUACUUCAGCAGAGAGAAGCAUCCCAACAUACUCUAAUAAUCAUCUCAAAACCACUUUCCUACACCUCAAAACCUUCUUGAAACCAAAUCGUUAGUGUAAUAUUAUCUACAGGAGAAUAUGUGAAGAUAGAUUUUACCUUCUGAUAGACCUCUUCUUGCCAAUCACCACCAUUUGCAUGUCCUGUUUGAGCAGUGAAAUCUAAAGAUGCUGAAAAAGAUAUAUAAAACAAUGAACAUAUAAGAAAAAUGGAAAUUUCUGAGGAAAAAGGGUAAGUAAGGACAACAUAAUUCAAAUGAAAUAAAAUUGCUCCAUACACAUAAAGACACAUGAUUCUGUCGCAUAUAUGUAACAGAACAUUAAAAUAGAUAAUUUAUGGAGGAAGUAUAUAUCUCAAGCAGAAAACAACCAACUUUCAUAGCAAAUUAAAGUAAAAUCAAAUAAACAUAGCAUAGAUGGGAAGAUCAAAUAUAGCUAGAUGGGAAGAUCAAACAGGGACUGGAAUGCAACCAAUGACCUAUGCCAUAAAAUUCCAUCGGACCCACCAUGGGUACAACUGAAAUGAAUUUGAAGAAACCAUGUGUAAACAUUUUCAACAUGUACAUAUGAAAAGAUUUUAUCCCUAAUUUCUGCAGCUAACCAUGCAUAUCCAAGUUUGAGGUUACUCGUUAAAAAGUACACUCCCUGCAACACCAAAUUUGAAUGUCUCUUCCUUUUGGCUUAUUCCAAGAUGUAAGUCUACUCUAUAAAAGUAAGAAAUUUGUAAUUUUGACUUUCCACUGUGAUGAAUAAAGAAUAACUAGAGUUCAAAUGUAUUUUUAAUUUUUCAAGGCUACUCAUAGAAUUUCUCAAGUUAAGACCUAAUUAAACAUUUUCCAUCUACAACUAAGACCUUCAGGUGGAAUAGGAGCAAAUGAUUGAUAAAUAAAGUAAACAUGAGAAGGAAGACCUAGAAAAAGUUAACUCUUUGAAGCUAUGAGCCUGUUAUUCAUUGAAAGAGAAAUAUGAUAACAAUAACGGUAAUUCAAACUAAAGCAUUAAAACAAUCUAUGGCACAAAUUAGACUCGAGGAAUAUAGGGGGCAUACGAAACCCUGGGGCAUUUGGCAUCGUGUUUGGGAGCCAAAAAGCCAGGCAGUUCCUAUGAUCAACUGAUGCAAGCAAAGGGUGCGGCAAUUUUGGAGGCACUGGUUUGUUAGCUAAAGACUAAUUAUACAUCUAACCAAGAUGUGAGGUCUGAGAUUUGUUUUUGACGGGGAUAGCAUAGCAUAAAUUCAAGAAAAUGUUCUCUUCAAUCUCCCCAAGUUGGAAAGGAAACUACUUUUGGAAGUAGUGGAAAUGCAACACAAAACAAUAGCGUCAACUAAGAAAAUGUAUAGUGGGUGCAUAAGCUAAAAAAAAUUUUAAAGGUUUCAAGGAUGAAGUGUGCUAGUAUCAGAGGAAAAAAAAUGCACAUAUCAGCUAAAUGACACAAGAUCAGAAAGCAACAAAGCAAAGAACAAGGGUAGGUAACUGCAUAGAUUCAAAAACAUACUUGAUGAUGUCUCUGGAACAGCUCUUUGUAAUUGAUACAACUGCUUUUGCUGAUCUAUCAGAUUUUGCGAUUGAAGCAAGGGACUUGAUGCUUGAAGCCUCUGCUGCAUAUCUCUUUGGAAUUGAUUGGGCUGCUGUUGCAAACCCAAUUGUUGCUGCAACUGAGUAGACUGAGAUUGCAUUUGCAACAUCAAUUGCCGGUGCUGCUGCAGUGGCGGCUGCUGGGAUGUCUGUCCUUGAGUUGGUAACAAACUAGGUGCACUCUGCUGCGUUUGUUGGAGUGGAACCUUAGCCUGGGAUAGCAUGUGUAAAGAUUGCUGAUUAGUUUGCAUGCUUGAGUUGCCCGACUUGGUUCCAAUCAACUGCUGCUGAUGUAUAUUCGAGAGAUUGUUUUGUUGAGCCAUUAACUGCUGCUGCUGUUGCUGUUGCUGCAGGUUUGAAAGAUUAUUAGGGUGGCCAAGCAAUCUCUGCUGCUGCAUGUCCCCAAUGCUGUUUUGUUGACCAAUUAACUGAGUCUGCUGUAUAUUUGCAUCAUUUGUCUGUUGUCCCAUUACGUGUGGCUGCUGGGGCUGUGGCUGUGGAGGCUGCUGGUGCUGCUGAGGCAUCAUUGACUGCUGUGUCAUUGGUGUUUGUUGUUGAUGAAUACCAGCACUGGCUGCCUGUUGUGGCUGUUGCUGCUGUCUAAGGACUGACUGUUGAUGCUGCUGAAGCAUGGACUGGGUUGACUGUUGUAGAGAAGAUUGCUGAUUCUGUUGAAGACCAGGAAGAGGAGUUGAUUGCAUUGCAGAUGGCUGCAUGGUGGAUGAUGUUUGCAUACCAGAUUGCAACUGAGUAGGCGGUAACAGGUUUUGCUGCUGCUGUUGCUGCAUGUGAGACUGCAUAAGUGACAGUUGGAGAUUUCCCUGUUGCGUCAUAAGUUGAUGUUGUAGCUGCUGAUGGUAUAGCUGCUGCUGCUGCUGCUGUUGCUGUUGCGGAUGCACCUGUUGCCUUCCUUGCAUUUGCCUCUGCUGAUUGGCAAAAAUAUUGGAAGGCAUCCCUUGCCCCAGUGAGUUCUGCAUAGUUCCAGACAUGUUCUGCAUGUUGGAAUUCUGGCCAACAACAUUAGGUAUAGGAUUCUGGGUUAGACCAGAGACAGGAGGCAUUCCAUAUUGUAAACCAGCAGAACUUUGAACUCCAGCAGAUGUCAUGUUAUUUGGAACAUUCUGGGGCAACAGUUGUUGACGUGUUUGUGACUGAUUACUUUGUAGUGGGAU
rnacentral:lncRNA from 1 species